GGAAUGGGUGUAGCUCAAUAGUUAAAGCCCCUGUUUUCCAAGCAGAAGGGCCCACGAUUGAUCCCUGGCAUCUCUG